rnacentral:SRP_RNA from 1 species
GCCGGGCAUGGUGGCUCAUGCCUGUAAUCCCAGCACUUUGGGAGGCCGAGGUGGGUGGAUCACCUGAGGUCAGGAGUUCAAGACCAGCCUGGCCAACAUGGUGAAACCCCGUCUCUA